rnacentral:rRNA from 1 species
GACGAACGCUGGCGGCGCGCUUAACACAUGCAAGUCGAACGGAAAGGCCUGCUUUCCCUUGUGGAUUGCGGGUACUCGAGUGGCGAACGGGUGAGUAACACGUGAGUGAUCUGCCCCCAACUUGGGUAUAAGCCUGGGAAACUGGGUCUAAUUCCCGAUAGGACUGCAGGGUGGUGCCUGUGGUGGAAAACGAUUUUCUAGUGGUUGGGGAUGAGCUCGCGGCCUAUCAGCUUGUUGGUGGGGUAAUGGCCUACCAAGGCGGCGACGGGUAGCCGGCCUGAGAGGGUGGACGGCCACAUUGGGACUGAGAUACGGCCCAGACUCCGACGGGAGGCAGGAGUGGGGAAUAUUGCACAAUGGGCGGAAGCCUGAUGCAGCGACGCCGCGUGGGGGAUGACGGCCUUCGGGUUGUAAACUCCUUUCGACCGCGAGGAAGCCACCUGGUUGGAAGGGUGGUGACGGUAGUGGUAGAAGAAGCACUGGCUAACUACGUG